GAGAACCACGUCGUAACACACGGGGAUGCAUCGCGCGCGGAUCGACGUCGGCUACACGAGUUUAUUUUAGCAUUUUCGAAUUCGUCGAAGGGGUAAUGAAACAGCGUUAAGAUCCACAGUGACUAUCGUCCUACCAACACACUGGGGAUAACACUCGAUACAUCAGUUUUGGGGAAUUUUGUGGUUGUAAAUGCAGAAUGCAAUGGAGAAGUUGAUGAAAAUUGGCUAUUGCAGGUCAAUUAUUUUUUAAACACUGACGGAUAUGGCGAAAAUGCAGAGUUAGCCACACGUACGACAAUGGCCAAGCUGACAGGAGGGUGCCAUGGAACCCAUGGUGAAGGUACCACGGGAUGACGAGAGAGAGAGAGAGGGAGAGAGAGAGCGGGUGCCAGAGGAUGUUCUACCUGCAGUGUAUUAAAUUUGUCCCUCGCAAAAUGGGUUUACUCACCUCUGUCUACCCCAUCCCAAUUCCUCAACCCUCUCACCCGUUAAUGUGCUUAAUUAAGGCAAAUAAAUUAUGCUGAUAUUGUUCGCACGUAAAGUAAUAACGUUAGCACCGAAUUAUUGGCUAAUGCUGGUCAUUUGCAUUAAGGGCGAGUGGCAAAUGGGGGAGGGAUUUUUUUUUUUCAAUGUCAAUGUUUAUCAGAAUUAUCAGCUGAUGUCGAGUUUUGUGGACUUUUUUGGGGGGGAAUAAUCGAUCGGGUUAAGGGGGGGUAGGGGGGGGGAGAGCUCCAUUAACUUUUAAUUGAAUGUCAAGACUACGAUCUUCGAUGAAUUAUGAAGGGUUGUAACAUUUAAUUUAGGGGUAAUUGAUUUCCAGGAAAAUUGGAGAUAUUUUGCGGAAUGCGUUUCGAUUCUCAUGGAAUUACUGAAUGAUUGUGAGAUUUAAUAUGCGAUUAUUGAAUUACCGAUUAAUCAGCUUGAAAUUUCGUCUAAUCCGAUUUUGUUACUGAUAAAGUGGAUCCAUUAAUUUUUUUUAUUUUCAAUUAAUUAAGAGCGAUCAUCACGCUAAAUUAACUAUCAACUGUUAUGGAAAUGUUUGACGUUUUACCAGUCCAAGAAUUAUUCUUUCAUCUCUUGAAUCGAAAUUCAUCAAUCAUUCGACAUCAAGCAAUUAAUUAAAAUUCGAUUGUGGUAAUUCACAUAAAUUUUUCAUUCCGCUUCCAGACGUGAUUUUCAGCAGAUUAUGGAUGACAUUAACGUCAAAAGUCCAUGGACUAAUGAAUUCAACUAUUCCAACUUGAUUACUGAAGAAUUAUUUCAUUUGUUUUCAAUUGAACCUAGAAUUUCGCGAAAAUAUUCAAAAUAUGGCAAUUGCAUUGAAGAAUUCAUGUCAUUCAGUCUACAGUAUUUGCAAACCAAUAUAAAUUAAUGAAAAUCGA